AACGAACGCUGGCGGCAGGCUUAACACAUGCAAGUCGAGCGCCCCGCAAGGGGAGCGGCAGACGGGUGAGUAACGCGUGGGAAUCUACCUUUUGCUACGGGAUAGCUCCGGGAAACUGGAAUUAAUACCGUAUGUGCCCUUUGGGGGAAAGUUUUAUCGGCAAAGGAUGAGCCCGGGUUGGAUUAGCUAGUUGGUGGGGUAAAGGCCUACCAAGGCGACGAUCCAUAGCUGGUCGGAGAGGAUGCCCAGCCACACUGGGACUGAGACACGGCCCAGACUCCUACGGGGGGCAGCAGGGGGGAAUAUUGGACAAGGGGCGCAAGCCUGAUCCAGCCAUGCCGCGUGAGUGAUGAAGGCCCUAGGGUUGUAAAGCUCUUUCACCGGUGACGAUAAUGACGGUAACCGGAGAAGAAGCCCCGGCUAACUUCGUGCCAGCCGCCGCGGUAA
rnacentral:rRNA from 1 species